UCUACGGGAGGCAGCAGUGAGGAAUAUUGGUCAAUGGCCGUAAGGCUGAACCAGCCAAGUCGCGUGAAGGAAAGAGGAUCAAUGGUUUGUAACCUUCUUUUAUAGGGGAAUAAAGGUAUCAAAGGGUGGAUAUUUUCAUGUACCCUAUGAAUAAGCAUCGGCGAACUCCGUGUCAGCACCGUCGGUAGAACGGAGGAUGUGAGGAUUAUCUGUUUUUAUUGGGUUUAAGGGGUGCGUAGGUUGUUUGUUAAGUAAGCGGUGAAUGUUUGUGGCUCAACCAUAAAAUUGCCGUUGAAACUGGCAGACUGGAGUGCGUUUUGGGUAGGCGGAAUGCGUGGUGUAGCGGUGAAAUGCAUAGAUAUCACGCAGAACUACGAUUGCGAAGGCAGCUUACUAAGCCAUAACUGACACUGAAGCACGAAAGCGUGGGGAUCAAACAGGAUUAGAUACCCGAGUAGUC
rnacentral:rRNA from 1 species